UGGUGCCUCCAAUGUGGGACCCGAGAACGGGGGAAUUAGUGAGGAACGCUGUUCAUGGGCCCAAAGUAGAAAAAGGAAAAAAAAAAUAGAGGCCUGACAUGGGAGCCUGCCAUGUCCCUGAACCUCGGUAAGUGAACAGCGAUUAUGGGACAAGACAUUAGCCAGCAUGAGACUUUUGUUGAAAGUUUAGAAAAGCUUGAAAGACACAAAGGGUAAGGAAAAAAUAAAUUAGCAAUUGUGUCCAUUAGGACAA
rfam:Cavia porcellus supercont2_1 genomic scaffold, whole genome shotgun sequence.